rnacentral:lncRNA from 1 species
CCAUUGGAGCUAGUGGAGGAGGUAAUUUUACAGGUGGUGGCGGUGAGUUGACUGGAGUAGGUGGUGAAGAGUAUUUCACAGGAGGCGGUGGUGAGCUAACUGGAGCCGGUGGAGGAGGUGAUUUUACAGGUGGUGGUAGUGAGCUGACUGGAGCAGGUGGUGGAGGGGAUUGCGCCAGAGGAGGUGGUGAGCUUACUGGAGCCGGUGGUGGUGAUUUUAUAGGUGGUGGUGGUGAGCUGACUGGAGCAGGCGGUGGAGGGGAUUGCAUCGGAGGAGGAGGUGAGCUUAUUAGAGCUGAUGGAGGAGGUGAGUUUGCUUGUGGUGGGGGUGGCGACCUUAUCGGUGGUGGAGGAGGUGAUGAUUUCGUUAGCGGUGGAGGUGACCUCACCGGCGCUGGUGGCGGCGGCGAACUUAACAGUGGUGAAGGAGGUGGUGAUUUCACUGACGAUGGAG